ensembl:snoRNA
CAGAGAUGAUGAACUCACUGACGGGGGGACAGAGACUCUGUGCUGAUUGUAAAAAAAGAAAAAAUAUA